UACGGGGGGGGUAAGCGUUGUUCGGAAUUACUGGGCGUAAAGGGCUCGUAGGCGGCCAACUAAGUCAUACGUGAAAUCCCUCAGCUUAACUGGGGAACUGCGUGUGAUACUGGAUGGCUUGGAUUUGGGAGAGGGAUGCGGAAUUCCAGGUGUAGCGGUGAAAUGCGUAGAUAUCUGGAGGAACACCGGUGGCGAAGGCGGCAUCCUGGACCAAUAUUGACGCUGAGGAGCGAAAGCCAGGGGAGCAGACGGG
rnacentral:rRNA from 1 species